GGGGGGAUACCAAAGCGGCCAACUGGGACGGACUGUAACUCCGUUGACUUAUGUCUUCGCAGGUUCGAAUCCUGCUCCCCCCACCA
rnacentral:tRNA from 1 species